rnacentral:rRNA from 1 species
UUUCCAGACUCCUACGGGAGGCAGCAGUGAGGAAUAUUGGUCAAUGGGCGGGAGCCUGAACCAGCCAAGUCGCGUGAGGGAAGACGGUCCUACGGAUUGUAAACCUCUUUUGCCGGGGAGCAACGGGGUCCUUGCGAGGGCCCGAUGAGAGUACCCGGAGAAAAAGCAUCGGCUAACUCCGUGCCAGCAGCCGCGGUAAUACGGAGGAUGCGAGCGUUAUCCGGAUUUAUUGGGUUUAAAGGGUGCGUAGGCGGAAUGCCAAGUCAGCGGUAAAAUCGCGGGGCUCAACCCCGGCGAGCCGUUGAAACUGGCUGUCUCGAGUUGGAGAGAAGUAUGCGGAAUGCGCGGUGUAGCGGUGAAAUGCAUAGAUAUCGCGCAGAACUCCGAUUGCGAAGGCAGCAUGCCGGCUCCACACUGACGCUGAGGCACGAAAGCGUGGGUAUCGAACAGGAUUAGAUACCCCGGUA